GACGAAGGAUGCAAGCGUUAUCCGGAAUCACUGGGCGUAAAGCGUCUGUAGGUGGUCAAAUAAGUCAACUGUUAAAUCUUGAGGCUCAACCUCAAAAUCGCAGUCGAAACUAUUAGACUAGAGUAUAGUAGGGGUAAAGGGAAUUUCCAGUGGAGCGGUGAAAUGCGUAGAGAUUGGAAGGAACACCGAUGGCGAAGGCACUUUACUGGGCUAUUACUAACACUCAGAGACGAAAGCUAGGGUAGCAAAUGGG
rnacentral:rRNA from 1 species